ACCGCAGAUCGGUGUUGUUUUUGGGUCUUGGCACCGUCUGCCGCCACGGUAAAAUCCACACAUAUUGUUCCCGAGGUAUAAGAUAUUGAUAGUUUCUCAUUUCCGGUAGACAUACAUUAAGAAAAUAUUUUGUUUUUAUUUCAAAGUGAUAAUAAUUUACCACAAUGUCCUUAUUAUUGUGAUAUGAGUUUUUAUUUUUUUUAAAUGUAGAAAACGUAUUGGUAUCAUAGUAGCGGAAAACACAUCGCGUAGAGCACUCUUCACUCUUCAGAGAAGUGUUACAUCGCUCUGCUUACAGAUUACGAGUCAACUUUUACGUUUCUCUGCAUUAGCUACAAGUCCAGCUCGAUCCUAAUAGUGACGUCACACCAGCCGAUGUCCAGCACGAAGCCAUGGGAGGAGUGCAAAGCGGACCUGUUAGCGGAAGGCAAUUGUCCCAGAUAAACACACAUAAACUGGUCGUAGGUGUGUGGGAAGGCGAUGAGGCAAAGGUGAAGUCUGCUCUCUCCAGGGGUGGGGGUGCCCGUACCUCUAUCACCGUCCCCAAUUCGAGUGGGUCGUCGUGGUGUCUGGUGUGUUCCGCUGCCAGCAGGAACCACGACCACCUGCUGCCUCACCUACAUCAGGCAGGGCUGAACAUAGAAGGUAGAGGCACCGUUGACAGGACACCGCUGAUGCUGGCUGCUGAGAGGGGCCACACUCGCACGGUGAAGAAACUGCUAUCUCUCGGCGCGAACCCUUUAGCAACUAAUAGUACAGGUGAGGCUGUGCUGGUGGUGGUGAUGAUAGAGGUGUUGUUCGCGAUGGUACUUGUAGCUGUGGUGGUGUGUGGUGUUG